rnacentral:rRNA from 1 species
CCUACGGGAGGCUGCAGUGGGGGAUAUUGCACAAUGGGGGGAACCCUGAUGCAGCGACGCCGCGUGGGUGAAGGAGUGCUUCGGCAUGUAAAGCCCUAUCGGCAGGGAAGAAGCAAGACGGUACCUGACUAAGAAGCCCCGGCUAACUACGUGCCAGCAGCCGCGGUAAUACGGAGGGGGCGAGCGUUAUCCGGAUUCACUGGGUGUAAAGGGAGCGUAGACGGCCAUGCAAGCCAGGGGUGAAAGCCCGGGGCCCAACCCCGGGACUGCCCUUGGAACUGGGCGGCUAGAGUGCGGGAGGGGCAGGAGGAAUUCCUGGUGUAGCGGUGAAAUGCGUAGAGAUCAGGAGGAACACCGGCGGCGAAGGCGGCCUGCUGGACCGCGACUGACGUUGAGGCGCGAAAGCGUGGGGAGCGAACAGGAUUAGAUACCCCUGUAGUC